rnacentral:tRNA from 1 species
GGGGCAUUAGCUAAGCUGGCUACAGCACUUCCCUCUUAAGGAAGAUAUCAUCGGUUCGAAUCCGGUAUGCCCUACCA